rnacentral:lncRNA from 1 species
ACUAGACACAAAACUAAGGUUGGGGGAGAUAGAGAAGGAGAGGAAUUGACUUGAACGAAGAAAAAGUAUAGAAGGAACAGAGGUGCUGAGAAGUACCAGAGGGACUGAGCUAAGGAACAGAAUGGAAAAGGAGUUGGAGACAGAUUUGGGGUUAAGAAAAGGAAUCAGGAGAGGAGAGACAGCCCUCUAGGGAGCACAGAGGCUGUUUGAGAGCAUUGCAAAGGGAACGAGGUUAAAGCAGGCAGGAGAUAUGCUGAAAAUAGUCAGAAUUUUUUAAAAAGUGCGGGGAGAAAUAGGUUUCAAAUCAAUGUUUAAAUCAAGAAAGAGAAGGAAAAGAAAAAAAAUAGGAGCCUUCAUCACAGGACCCAGAUGAGAGGCACCUAGAGGUGCGGGUUGCCCACAGAGCUAAGCCCAGCAUCUGCAAACCUGGUCAGCCCUGCCUCUUUCCCCACAUGCCUGAAACCUCAGGCCUCAGGCUGUCUGACUACUUCCUCAAAAGGGCCUUGUUUCUCAUCUUUGAAGUCUUCUUACCUGUAUAUAACCCUUGGUUGUGGCGUUCAGGCAGGAGCCCGGAAGAAACUCUGUUCAAGCAGCCAGGGACUCAGAAGGAUCUGCCCUGCCCAAAGUCCAGAAGUCCAGCGUUCCCACCCCUUCUCUCACCACUUCACAGCCUCCCGAGGACCUGGCAUAGAGCCCCACCCAGGACAAACACCCUCCCUCCCCUGCCCACAGGUCUUCAAAGACGACCAAGGUCCCUCCUCCUUCCAGAAGCCAACCUCCCACCCCAAGCCUGGGAGCUAUUUUCUCCCAAGAAGAGAGUGAGAUCUGAUCUGAGACCUGAGGCAAGGGGCGUGUCUGGGAACGGGAUGGAGCGACGGCACUUGGACCAGUUAGCGUCAUCCAGUAGCGCCAGGGUUCCUCGCUAAAGGUGAUGGUGGUGUGCUGAACCCAACCGAGCCUGGCCAAUCAUGGCCCUGCGGGUAUUGACCCGCGCUCUUAGCUCUCUGAGCCUGACGCCCCGGAUCGCUGUCGCCCCCGGCCUAAGUCUGCUCCCGGCCGUCCAGGUAAUCUACCUUACCGGGAGUGAGGCUGUUUCCAUUCGGCAACCGGAGAUGGGGCACCAGGAGACGCGGGGCGGGGGGGGGUGCGAGUCUGGUUAGGAGUCACGCCGGCCCGUGACCUUGGAUAAGUAACUCUCAGCCUCAGCUUUCUCCUCUGUAAACGUUGCUAUCUCAUAGGGUCGCUGGAUUCCUCAGACAAGAUAUUGAAGAUGAAGUGCUCACAGACAAAUGUACAGCUUUCAAUAAUAACUUACGUUUAUUGAGUGUCUCAUAAGCCAAGUCAAAUAAACUUUUAAAUAAAUGAAUUCCUUUCA